rnacentral:sRNA from 1 species
GUAAAACAAAGCUGUCAUGCAGAUAGUCCAUGGCGGCUUUAGGAUUUCGUUUUUUAGGUUUUGGGGCAGAAAUUCUACAAUGAAUAAAUAAGAAAGAAAGAAAAACUUGGCACAGGUCCAAGUUAUGUGGUCUUAAUGGUGUUCGCAAGCCAUUACCCGUCUGUGGCCAGUUGGAAGUUUGGUAUGCGUAGGUGUUAGCCUAAUCUUCAAAUCUACUUCCCGUCUCCCGGAACCACUUGUGAUGAGCAAGAAAUUGCAUUAAUAUCAAUCUUGUGAAACUAUUCUAAGUCUGUGGCUUUUAUCUCUGAGAUGUUACGAAGGGAAACGCCAAAAUAAGAAAAGAAAAUGAAGAUCUGGCGUC